AUACUUAUACUUUACUAUAAAAAAAAUAGUUAUUACUGCUUAAUUGGACGGAACUACGAAGCAACGGAGAUACAGUAGCUGUCCCUUGUUGUUGGUCUUAAAAUAUGAGACGAUCGUAGUAAUAUAAUAUCGUAUUUUACGAUUAGGUUAGGCAAAUACUAUAAAUGAUAUAGUAUUAUAGCAUUAUUAUAGUAUUUGGGUUAGGUUAUUAAUAUGAUCUAAAGACAGUUGGUAUUGGUACGAAAUAUUGACAUGUUUAUCGUCAGCGAAUUCGAAGAGGUCGUGAAGGUGCAGCCGACUCAUUUAGAAGAUGAUCAAAUGUCCCGGAUCAUCAUACAUCUCAAUUCGAUGCUUGCCAACAAAGUGGUAAUGGACGUCGGCUUGUGUCUGUCGUUAUUUGACAUCUUGGAAAUAGGUGAUUCGAUAAUAUACCCGAGUGAGGGAGCAUAUUUUUCCAAGGUGCGAUUUAGAUUCAUCGUAUUCAGACCGUUUGUCGAAGAAAUACUCAUUGGCAAAGUAAAGAGCUCCUGUUCUGAUGGAGCUGUACUAACGACCGGCUUCUUUGAAGACAUAUUUGUGCCGGCAGCAAACAUGCAAAACCCCAGUCGUUUUGACGCCAAAGACAAAGUGUGGGUGUGGGAAUAUGACAACUGUGGUGAUACAGUUGAGUUACACAUGGACAUUGGCGAGACAGUUAGGUUUCGUGUUGUUUCUGAGCAGUUUGUCGAUACUCAUCCAGGAGUGGACAGCGGGCUUUUAGACACUGGUGAGAUAGCCACUUCAAAAUCUAAAUCACCAUAUUCAAUUGUUGGAACAAUAAGAGAACCUGGUUUAGGAGUAAUUGGAUGGUGGACUGAUUUAUAAAUUGUUAAAUAGUUUUGGAUGUGCAUCAUAUAUACUUUAUCUCAUAUUGGCUAAAAUUUAAAAUGAUAUGCCUCCAGUGGCGCCGAACCUAUAACCCAAGAGGGGCAAAAGUAUUUCAGGUGGCUGCCAAUUCAAUGAUGUAAGUAAUAGGUUAAGUACGAGGUACUAUACUAGUUGGAUCCCGAAUUAUUUUAGGUAUUCCACUAGUUUCUAAAUAUUUUUUGGUAAGUACUACACUAUACUAACAUUUUCAUUUCCAUUUUAACAGACUGUCUAUGGUCUAUUUAAACCACAGGUAUGGUUAAUCUAUUUGAAAUAAUUGAUGUAACCUAAUGUACUUUUUUAGCUAUGUAUUUUGUAUAAAGUAGGAUAUUGCAUUUUGAACCUUCACUCAUCUAA
rnacentral:misc_RNA from 1 species